CGUGUCGUGAGAUGUUCGGUUAAGUCCGGCAACGAGCGCAACCCACAUCUUUAGUUGCCAUCAGUUCGGCUGGGCACUCUAAAGAAACUAGCCCGUGAUAAGCGGGAGGAAGGUGUGGAUGACGUCAAGUCCUCAUGGCCCUUACGGGUUGGGCUACACACGUGCUACAAUGGCAGUGACAAUGGGAUAAUCCCAAAAAACUGUCUCAGUUCGGAUUGUCGUCUGCAACUCGACGGCAUGAAGUCGGAAUCGCUAGUAAUCGCGUAACAGCAUGACGCGGUGAAUACGUUCCCGGGCCUU
rnacentral:rRNA from 1 species